ensembl:lncRNA
CGCCCGAGCCGAGCGGGCGAGCGGAGCUGCGGGGAGCGCGGGCGAAGGCGGCAGGAGGGAGGGCGCGCGGGAGGCGGCCCCUCCUCGGCGAGCCAUGCGUGCCGCGGGCAGCUGAGGAGCCGCCGGGCGCCGCUGCCAAGUCCCCGCUCCGCUUUUGUCUUGCCCUCCAGUGAAUGGGAAGAUGGANCCCAGCAGCGGCCCCAGCCCCAGCCCCAGCAGCGGCCCCAGCCCCAGCAGCGGCCCCAGCAGCUGGCUCAGGAUGAAGUGCCCGGCGAGAGUGCGGGCGCGGAGGACAGCGACGAUCCCGAGGCGACACCCGGCAGCGACAGAGGCGAGAGCAAGUAGUUGUGGUAAAGUUACUCCUGGUGAAUCCAAUGCUUGCAGCUUCUUGACUUGA